UACGUAGGGUCCAAGCGUUAUCCGGAAUCACUGGGCGUAAAGCGUGCGUAGGCGGCGUGUUAAGUGUGAUGUUAAAUCGUGGGGCUCAACCCUGUCGGUGCAUCACACACUGGCAUGCUAGAGGAAGGCAGAGGCAAGUGGAAUUUGUAGUGUAGCAGUGAAAUGCGUAGAUAUUACAAGGAACACCAAUGGCGAAGGCAGCUUGCUGGGCCUUUUCUGACGCUGAGGUACGAAAGCGUGGGGAGCGAACAGG
rnacentral:rRNA from 1 species